rnacentral:tRNA from 3 species
GCCACCUUAGCUCAGUUGGUAGAGCGCCACUUUUGUAAAGUGGAUGUCGUCAGUUCGAAUCUGACAGGUGGCUCUA